rnacentral:lncRNA from 1 species
UCGUUUGUUGCUUAAACAGUAAUCAAGUCAUAAGAUCAUAGUCAUAGAAAGAAAACCCAAUGCUAUACUUGCCUUGAUCCAAUUGCUCCUACUAUCCUACUAGUUGUCAAGGUACUCAUCUUCAUGACCGAAUACUGCUCACCGUCUAUACCCGAUCACCAAUCAUCAACACAAAAACAAUCGAAGCCAAACAUACAUGAAGCAAAUAGAGCUACAAUUAGAAUAGUACACCAACAGUAGAAAAACAAUAAAAAAAAGUUUAUAAAAUGAUCCUACGCAUUACUGCGAUCACAUAGACGUAAAGAGCUAAAACGGAGAAGAUAUGAAUUUUCCAAGAUUUCCUUUAGUAAAGUAAUUAGAUAAAUAAAAUCUCCAAAAUAAAAUUUGCAAACUAUUGAACUAAGGGUAGUAACAUGUAGAUCUCGUGAAUAUGAACCUAACGCA